CCCAGCUAGUCAUGCUAGAGCACUUUUUCAAUGUGCUACCCAACAACAACGCAUUUGUAUGUCAAUCCAUAUCAACUUUCAAUGACAUUUACUGCGCCUACCAUGGUGAGAACGGGUAACUGUGAAUCAGGGUUCGAUUCCGUACAGGGACCCUGACAAAUGGCUACCACAUGCAAGGAAGGCAGCAGGCGCGCAAAUUACCCACUCCCGACACGGGGAGGUAGUGACG